rnacentral:rRNA from 1 species
UCUGGUGAUGAUGCUCUUUAGGGUAACACCCGUUUUCCAUUCCGAACACGAAGGUUAUUAGCCUAUUGAGGCCGAUGGUACUGCACGGGAGACUGUGUGGGAGAGUAGGUGGUUGCCAGGU